ACCCACCCAACACAGACAGCCCUGGGCUUUCCGCUGGAGAGGAGAAGAGGUUGCUCAUACCAUGCUAUGCUUUUGAGUGGAGGACAAGGAGCCUGUGGCUGACCUGCAGGGUAACUGCAAUAAAAAAGGAAGAAGAAAGGAAGAUGUAUCACUGGGGGAUGGAACUCAGCUUCAAAGAGUGAGGUCUAAACUAGAUGUAAACACAGAUUUUUAAUGCAUGUAGUCACAGAGACAAAACAAACCAUGUCAAAUGUGAUUGGGAAGAAGAUCCAGCUACAGCAAGAGAACAACUUACUGCUGUGAAAGGACACGGGAACAUGGUGAGAAGGCAAG
rnacentral:lncRNA from 1 species